GCAGAAAGACGAGGCGGGAGCGGGAAAGGGAACGAGCUCUGCUUCCCUUCGCUGCUUCUGCGAUCUAGCAAAACCCUAAUCCCAGAUCGGCGCAAAGAACCCUAGGGGAUCGUGUCGGGGUCCGGGAGGUAUGGUCAGUGAUCUCAGCACCCCAUAGAUGUGACACAAUACACAAUGGAUCUGUGAGCCACUCCGAGGCCAAGAUCUAGAGGAAUAUGGGAAUUGAAGUUCUACAAAUUGAGAUGCUUUCUUCCAUGGGACACACAGAACAGUGUGAGCCUUGGCUUAGGGUUCCAAGUUGCCAGUAGUUCUAUAUCUCUGUCCUCAUGGCUGAAUUCUUUAAUAGGAUAAAGCCAACUAUCAAAUGCAUGGCUUUGACCUGCCUGUUGCAACAAUUAUGCAAAAGAACUUGACUGUUCAUAAUUGGAUGUCAUCAUUUUUAAUUAAAACAAAUUUGCUACGGCCUUUUAUAAAAAUUUUUACGGAAGCUUCAACGUCAA